AAAUUGAAUAAAUUUCCAAUUUCUAAGGGGAGAGAUCCAUUUAAAUGGUUUUGAUGUAAUUGUACGGAAAUCAACAUAGACUUGGAAGCAAAAAGUUGUUUAGGUAUGGAGCCACUAAGGUUGUUUUGAAAAAGGCACAGAACUAAUAACUCUCUACAAUUUCCAAGACUGGAGGGAAUUGUGCCUUGUAAAUUGUUAUUGGACAAAUUAAGCCAAAUCAAUUGUGAUAAGUUCCCUAUAGAUGAAGGAAUUGGUCCAAACAAUCUAUUAGAGUGGAGCGACAUUCGUCGCAAUCUAGGAAGUGUACCUAUUUCAACGGGAAUAUUGCCCAUAAUUUGGUUAGAACCGAAAUGCAUAUGCGAUAAGCUAACAAGUGUAGAUAACCAUGGAGGGAGGCCUCCAUAUAUUUGAUUGUCCCCCAUUCCCAGCCAUUCAAGUGAUGAAGAUUGAUUGGCCACAAAAUUUGGCAAUACCCCUUUAAACUGAUUGUCAGAUAUUUCUAAAAGUUUUAAAUUGCUACAAUUCAGUAAAGACGUGAUAAAAUCCAAAUCGUUAUCUCCCUUGUUUCCGAGAUUGUUGCCACCCAAACCUAACCAUUGAAGUUGUUGUAGGCCUCCAAAAUCAACAUGUACUUUUCCAGUGAAUUUGUUAUAUCCUAAACCAAUUUGUUGGAGAUUGGUGGCAUUGGAUAAUGACAAUGGAAUUGAUCCACUAAAGUUGUUGAUCGACAUAUGCAAGACGCGAAGAUUAGGUAAAAGGAGGCCAACAUUCAAUGGGAGACUUCCAUGGAGGAAAUUAAUUGGUAUAGAUAAUGCAGUGAUGGAGGAAAUAUUAUAAAUGGAUUCAGGGACGAUACCUGAGAGGUUAUUGCUUCCA
rnacentral:misc_RNA from 1 species